GGUUGCUAUGCAAAAGGCCAUAAGUCAUCUACCGCACACCACAGACCUGGCUAGCAGGCGGGUGUUCCCUUCUCAUUCCUCCAUGUGCAUCUCUCUUGAAGUGGCAUGCUCGGUGGAAGAUGACCAUCCCAGAUAGGACCGUGCCACUCUUAAGUCAAGAGCAUAUGAUGGCAACGCUCCCCUGCCAGAACCCCCCCCCCCAAACUACAACACUGUAGUUUGUUAAGCUACAACAGUAGUGAAAGCUCCCAAUCUCCUCAUAGCCAUCCUAGAGAAGGGGGCAGGGAAGGGUAGCCUGAGGUAUAUAGCAGCU